AAGGCUUUAAGUUAAUAAAACUAAUAGCCUUCAAAGCUGUAAAUAAAGGGAAUCCCUUUAAGCCUUA
rnacentral:tRNA from 1 species